rnacentral:rRNA from 1 species
ACAACGAAGAGUUUGAUCCUGGCUCAGGAUGAACGCUAGCGGCGGGCUUAACACAUGCAAGUCGAGGGGCAGCAUGAAAUUUAUUUAUUUAGAUUUUGAUGGCGACCGGCGGACGGGUGCGUAACACGUAUGUAACCUACCUUUUUCUAGAAAAUAGCCUGAGGAAACUCGGAUUAAUAUUCUAUAAUACAGUAUUUUCGCAUGAAAAUAUUAUUAAAGCAGAAAUGCGGGAAAAGAUGGGCAUGCGCCCGAUUAGUUAGUUGGUGGGGUAAAGGCCUACCAAGACGAUGAUCGGUAGGGGGCCUGAGAGGGUGAUCCCCCACACUGGUACUGAGAUACGGACCAGACUCCUACGGGAGGCAGCAGUGAGGAAUAUUGGUCAAUGGAGGAAACUCUGAACCAGCCACGCCGCGUGCAGGAAGAAUGCCUUAUGGGUUGUAAACUGCUUUUGUUUAGGAAUAAAAAUUUCUACGUGAUAGAAAUUGUGAAGGUACUAAACGAAUAAGUGUCGGCAAACUCCGUGCCAGCAGCCGCGGUAAUACGGAGGACACAAGCGUUAUCCGGAUUUAUUGGGUUUAAAGAGUGCGUAGGCGGUUUAUUAAGUCAGUAGUGAAAUGUUACAGCUUAACUGUUAAAAUGGCUAAUGAUACUGAUAGACUUGAGUGAGAUUGGAGUAAUUGGAAUGUGUGGUGUAGCGGUGAAAUGCAUAGAGAUCACACAGAACACCGAUCGCGAAAGCAGGUUACUAAAUCUAUACUGACGCUGAGGCACGAAAGCGUGGGGAGCAAACAGGAUUAGAUACCCUGGUAGUCCACGCCGUAAACGAUGAUCACUAGUCGUUGGAUUUUAUUAUUCAGUGGCUAAGCGAAAGUGAUAAGUGAUCCACCUGGGGAGUACGAUCGCAAGGUUGAAACUCAAAGGAAUUGACGGGGGCCCGCACAAGCGGUGGAGCAUGUGGUUUAAUUCGAUGAUACGCGAGGAACCUUACCAAGGUUUAAAUGUACUACGAAUAAGCUAGAAAUAGUUUAGUCUUCGGACGGAGUACAAGAUGCUGCAUGGUUGUCGUCAGCUCGUGCCGUGAGGUGUUGGGUUAAGUCCCUCAACGAGCGCAACCCUCAUUGUUAGUUGCCAACGAAUAAUGUCGGGGACUCUAGCAAGACUGCCGACGUAAGUCGAGAGGAAGGUGGGGACGACGUCAAAUCAUCACCGGCUCUUAUACCUUGGGCUACACACGUGCUACAAUGGUCGGUACAAAGGGUUGCUAUUGAGUAAUCAUAAGCUAAUCUCUAAAAACCGAUCUCAGUUCGGAUUGGAGUCUGCAACUCGACUCUAUGAAGUUGGAAUCGCUAGUAAUCGCAUAUCAGCCAUGAUGCGGUGAAUACGUUCCCGGGCCUUGUACACACCGCCCGUCAAGCCAUGGAAGUCGGGGGGACCUGAAAUUGGUGACCAUAAAAGGAACUGCUUAAGGUAAAAUCGAUAACUGGGGCUAAGUCGUAACAAGGUAGCCGUACCGGAAGGUGUGGCUGGAACAUCUCUUUU